AUUGAACGCUGGCGGCAGGCCUAACACAUGCAAGUCGAGCGGGGUUUUCGGACCUAGCGGCGGACGGGUGAGUAAUGCGUAGGAAGCUGCCCGAUAGAGGGGGAUACCAGUUGGAAACGACUGUUAAUACCGCAUAAUGACUACGGACCAAAGUGUGGGACAUUCGGGCCACAUGCUAUCGGAUGCGCCUACGUGGGAUUAGCUAGUUGGUGAGGUAAUGGCUCACCAAGGCGACGAUCUCUAGCUGGUUUGAGAGGAGGAUCAGCCACACUGGAUAUGAGACACGGUCCAGACUGCUACGGGAGGCAGCAGUGGGGAAGAUUGGGCAAUGGGCGCAAGCCUGAUCUAGCCAUGCCGCGUGUGUGAAGAAGGCCUUCGGGUUGUAAAGCACUUUCAGCGAGGAGGAAGGGGUUGUAGUUAAUAACUGCAACCUUUGACGUUACUCGCAGAAGAAGCACCGGCUAACUCUGUGCCAGCCGCCGCGGUAACAC
rnacentral:rRNA from 1 species